GUUGGUGAGAACUCCGAGGCCUCCUAACUCAUCAAACGCAGAAGCUGAGUUGAGAUUUCACUCUGGGGGAGCCAGGUGGGGCUGUGUGACCCCCCCCCCCCCCCCAUCAACCCUACAGAGGAGGGGAAGAACUUCAGGCAUGAGGUGGAUAGGAUGGAUGGCUGGGACAUGAUGGCCUGCUGAUUUCUUGUUCAAAGACGACUUGUGGGAGCCUAGGCUAGGAUUCUAGCGUGUUCCUUUCUGGAUCGCCAAGGGAAGAGUUAUUAAGGAACCGGCACUCGCCAUAGGAGCUAUGGAUGUAUCAAUGAGGAGACGACUUUAACUCGUGUGCUGGGUAUAAAUAUGCAAGUGCUGACAUGGGCUGCGUUUUUCAAUUUUAUGGCCAAGUGACGUCUACAGCCGACUGAUAAAUGGAAGCUUUGAGGUAGGAGAGUUGGGCUAAGAUUUUUCUCUCUCUUUCUCUCCAAUUACUCAAAGGAGGAGAAAAGUUUUAGACAGAGAUAAAUGGAAGAUAUCCACUGCCUGCAGAUAUAUGACUCCCCAGAUCUCCUGUCUGGGUAAAUCAGAGCUUCUCAUGGCUACAGAUAAUGAGAUAAUUAAAAAGUAGUAAAUAUAAGUGUGGAUUGCUGUCUACCAUUAAGCCCAGAAAGGGCUUCUGAUCAUGAAACACGGCUCUGUAUUUUGAAACAUCAUAUCAAUUAUAAGAGACACGUUUACAGAUCGCUCUAAGAGAUAUUUACAUAAAACUAUAUUUCUAUACACUACAGAAAAUACCCCAAGUAUAGAUUUAAUCAAAACUGUAAAUAAGACUAAAGGUAGGCUGUAAGGGUGAAAUAUGCAGCUGUAAAAAUCUUAGCAAAAAUUUAAAUCAGUUUCAUUCUGAAUUAUAUUGGCCUUCAUAUCUCUUACAUCUCCCUCAGCCCCCAGCCUCCUUUUCCACUACUUCACCUUAAUCCUCUUACACUGGAGAUGAGACAUUUGGGGGGAUAAAUGUCACGGUGGCUUUAUGCUUGCUUCUUUCUGUGUUUGUGGAGGAGGGGGUUUAAAAGUGGAGGGUGUAUUUUUUACUCCACAGUGCACUAUCCUGGUCCUUAGUCACUUACGAGGUCCUAUGAGUGAUGGGAUGGAUACAGGUUUGGGUGUGGGCUGACUCCUAUUUGAGACCAGCUUCUCAUGCCAGCUUAUGCUCUGUGGGAACAGGACUGGCAGACAGUGAAAGAUUUCAGCCUUUGAGCUGUGCUACGGAACGUAGAGUCUGUUUAGCACACUGCAAGGGGUUGCUGGUUAGCAGCACAGAGUAACAGUAGUCUGAGGCAGUGGGCCGUGGGGGUCUUCAUUUGGAGACUCCUUGGGUGUCCUAGCAUGUCACUCCCAUCACAUGAAUGGAAGUGGUCCAGACUGGUUGGCGUUUCUGACCUGGGAUGUUAGCCCAAAUUAUAGAGUUUCAGUCUCCGCCAUGCAGAUGAAGGCUAUGCAAAUGAGAGCUAUGCAAAUGAGGGCAUUUCUGAUUGGCCCACGUUCUUACCUCAGGCAGAAGCUUGGAUUACAGUGCUCCAACACGGAAGUAUUAUUGGUCCAUUGUGCUCCUGGGUCCCUGAUUGGUGGGAGAUGAGGACAGUCUGAUUGGGAGUCUUGCCAUCUGAAUGUGAAGUGUCCCCCAUAGGUUGGGACACUUGGUUCUAAGAUGGUUGUGCUUUUUAGGAAAGGACUGUGAACCUUUAAGAGGUGGAAACUGGGAUAACAUUUGAAAUGUAAAUAAAUAAAAUAAUCAAUAACAAUAAAAAAAGAGGUGGCGCCCCACUGGAGAAAAUGGAUCACCAGAGGUGGACUUUGAGCUGUAUAGCCAGAACCCACUUUCUGUUCGCUAUUCGGAGAGCAAAGAUGGAGAGUGACCAGCCAGCCUCCCACUCCUGCCUUCUGUGCCUGUCAAUAUGUUAUCCCUCCGUGACCCUCCAGCUGUCAGCCAAAGUAAAUGUUUUCUUCCCUAAGUUACCUCUUACCAGGUAUUUGGUUAAAUCAACAAUAUUGGGAUUAUUUUUUCCAAUUUGCUAAAUAAGAGAGCAUCAUGGCAACUCAUAUAGAAGAGAAAUAUAUGGAAUCUGGGCCAUCCAGGAUUAUGCUAGGAAAAGGAAGCCCAAGUGUCUUGUCUUAAUCAACCAGCAAAAGGAAGCCCAAGUGUCUUGUCUUAAUCAACCAGCAAAAGGAAGCCCAAGUAUCUUGUCUUAAUCAACCAGUCCUAGGUGUUACUGCCCAGCUUUGCUGAGACUGGAGUUGUCUGUGGAGCUACAUGACCUCUCACCUACACAUCUUUUUAUUGAGUGAAUGAAUGAAUAAAAAUGAAAACCAGGAUGAGAGACAUGUUUUUAAAAUGAAUCAGAUGUUAUGAUGGGACGUGGCUCUCACCCCUGGUGUUUUACAAACGCAGCUGGCAGCAUUUACUACAAAAGUGGGUUUGAGACAUUCAUUCUAAGUCUUUGAGGAUGGGGUCCAUAUGCUUGUUCACACAGAUGUGUGUAAAAAAAAAAUCUGUCUGCCACUUAUGUAUUGAAUGCCUUUGAGCAAAUCCUGGAACCUUUCUUUGUAAGCUUUUGUUUCCCUUAGCUCCACUUAAGAUCUUCAUCUUCAUCAUCAUCAUGUCUAUGAAUGUGCACAUGUGUGCAUGUGAGAGAAGACGGCCCAAGGAGGCCAGAGGCACUAGAUGACUCUCAGCUGGAGUUAAAGUUGUUGUGAGCUUUCCUACAUGGCUGCUGGGAACUGAACAGGACUCUUCUGGAAGAAUAGUAGGAUGCCUCACAACCACUGAGCCAUCUCUCUGACCCCUAUCUUCUUCCUCUCUUUUGUAGGAGGGGGAUUGCACAGUCCAGCCUGGCAUGAAAGGAUCCCGAGGGAAGGUAGCGAUGGGCUAUGGAGUCAGCGGUGAAACCAAAGCUUAUUUAUCUUUGGCAGCUCUUCUCUCUUUGCUAUGCUAAGGCCAAAUGCCUUCGGCUUCUGGAAGUCUGCCCAACAGGGUGGGCCAAUGCCCAGGAAUCAUUAGGCAAUGGUGACAGAAAAGGCGUAUCAGCUUUUAAGAAGCAAUCCUGAGAUGAAGUCUCUUGUGAUCUUGCCUCUCAGAGCUCACUCAUCAUAAGCUAUGCAAAAACAGUAAGUGGGCCACCUCCAGGAAAGUCACCCGCUAGCCCUCACCUCUCCUGGAUGGUUCCUGAAAUGGGGUUAAGUAUUUUCUAUAACAAAAUAAAAUCUAAUAAG
ensembl:processed_transcript 1700028P15Rik RIKEN cDNA 1700028P15 gene